UUGAAAAGAGAGUUAAAGAGUACCUGAAAUUGCUGAAAGGGAAGCGAAGGAAACCAGUGCUUGGCUUGGUCAUAUUUCUCGAAUCGCUUGCGGUUUGGGCGCUGUGUCGUUGCCUUUGUCAUUUUUGCUUGUUCUCGGCGGAAACGUGUGUUCGGGAGGUAGCGCUUGCGUGAUACCGUUCACAUUAUUGCUGGGUUUGAGUGAGGCUGACGAAAUGGUUUUCUUUACCCCGUCUAGAAACACGGACCAAGGAGUCUAACAUGUGUGCGAGUCGGCGGGUUUGAAAACCUGCGAGGCGCAAGGAAGCUGACGGGCGAGAUCCCCUCUCUUGGGGGGGUGCAUCGUCGACCGACCUUGAGCUUAUGCGAAGGGUUCGAGUGCGAGCACACCUGUUGGGACCCGAAAGAUGGUGAACUAUGCCUGAAUAGGGCGAAGCCAGAGGAAACUCUGGUGGAGGCUCGCAGCGGUUCUGACGUGCAAAUCGAUCGUCAAAUUUGGGUAUAGGGGCGAAAGACUAAUCGAACCAUCU
rnacentral:rRNA from 1 species